rnacentral:rRNA from 1 species
AGGGAAUAUUGCACAAUGGGCGAAAGCCUGAUGCAGCAACGCCGCGUGCGCGAUGAAGGCCUUCGGGUUGUAAAGCGCUUUUCGGGGAGACGAGGAAGGACGGUAUCCCCGGAAUAAGGCUCGGCUAACUACGUGCCAGCAGCCGCGGUAAAACGUAGGAGCCAAGCGUUAUCCGAAUUCACUGGGCGUAAAGCGCGUGCAGGCGGUAUGGCAAGUUGGAUGUGAAAUCUCCCGGCUCAACUGGGAGAGGCCGCUCAAUACUGCCAAACUAGAGGGCGACAGAGGGAGGUGGAAUUCCGGGUGUAGUGGUGAAAUGCGUAGAUAUCCGGAGGAACACCAGAGGCGAAGGCGACCUCCUGGGUCGCACCUGACGCUCAGACGCGAAAGCUAGGGGAGCAAACGGGAUUAGAAACCCCGGUAGUCCUAGCCGUAAACGAUGUAGACUGGGUGUCGGCGGGGUAAAAGCCGUCGGUGCCGAAGCCAACGCGAUAAGUCUACCGCCUGGGGACUACGGCCGCAAGGUUA